rnacentral:rRNA from 1 species
GAUGAACGCUGGCGGCGUGCCUAAUACAUGCAAGUCGAGCGAGUGGAUUAAGAGCUUGCUCUUAUGAAGUUAGCGGCGGACGGGUGAGUAACACGUGGGUAACCUGCCCAUAAGACUGGGAUAACUCCGGGAAACCGGGGCUAAUACCGGAUAACAUUGUGAACCGCAUGGUUCGAAAUUGAAAGGCGGCCUCGGCUGGCACUUAUGGAUGGACACGGCGUCGCAUUAGCUAGUUGGUGAGGUAACGGCUCACCAAGGCAACGAUGCGUAGCCGACCUGAGAGGGUGAGCGGCCACACUGGGACUGAGACACGGCCCAAACUCCUACGGGAGGCAGCAGUAGGGAAUCUUCCGCAAUGGACGAAAGUCUGACGGAGCAACGCCGCGUGAGUGAUGAAGGCUUUCGGGUCGUAAAACUCUGUUGUUAGGGAAGAACAAGUGCUAGUUGGAUAAGCUGGCACCUUGACGGUACCUAACCAGAAAGCCACGGCUAACUACGUGCCAGCAGCCGCGGUAA